rnacentral:rRNA from 1 species
UACGAACUGUGCGAACGUUAUUCGGAAUCACUGGGCUUAAAGGGUGCGUAGGCGGCUGCCUAAGUCAGGUGUGAAAUCUCCCGGCUCAACCGGGAAACUGCGCUUGAUACUGGGCGGCUCGAGUGAGGUAGGGGUGUGUGGAACUUCCGGUGGAGCGGUGAAAUGUGUAGAUAUCGGAAGGAACGCCAGCAGCGAAAGCGGCACACUGGGCCUUUUCUGACGCUGAGGCACGAAAAGCCAGGGGAGCGAACGGGG